CUCUCUCGUUCUCUCUCUCCUCCCUCCUUCCCUCAAACGCACGCUCGCCCCAGCGGCCCCAGUCGCCGGCAACAAAGCGGCGGGCAGCGCGCCGGGCUGGCGGCGCACGCACAUUCACUCACACACACACUCACUCACUUACACACACACACACAAUGCUGCCGCGGCACCUACCAGGCGGGCAGCCUCGGCCCAGGUGCCGGCUCGGAGAGAUCUCACGUUAGGGUUUCGGCUCCUUCUGUUGCUGGAGCAGGAAAGAACAUCUUCGUGUGCCAGUGUAAACAAAGGAGUUGAUAUGCUGCGCUCGUAAAACUGACGAGGGACGUGUUCUCUUCUUGGAUGACCUCGGAUUAAGAUACACACGAAAUGUUAAUGAGAAGAUUUAGCACACCUUCCUGAGUGGCAGGAUGUUGUGGGUUCUUCCCCAGUUUCUUCCUCUCCCCCAAAUAUUAAAGUAUAUUUGCAAUGCUAUUGAAA